UCUGGGCUCCCCCACUGUAUCAGGGCUACCUGCCUCCAUCCAGCAAAUACUUACUAAGCGCCUACCAUCUACGCCUGGCACCCAGCUAGACAUCAAGGGGGAACCAAGCCACAGUCCCUCGUCUCCGCAGGCAGAAACAGACGAGCACCGUCUGGAGGUUGCGCGGGCCGGGAAAACCUGCCACAGGUUGCUAAGACCAGCUGUACCCAGGAGACAGCAGGAUUCCCAGCAGCACCCAGCCCAGUAACGCCACAGACUCCCGGGAGCGAGGGCGGAGCGAACAGGCUGUCAGAGUCCCUCAGUGUCAAGCCCAGGGAGACACUUUUGGCCAUCUCACUGUGAGCCAGCAGGGUGUGUUCAUCUCCAGUGGGAGUUUUGGCCGCUUCCUUCCUCUGGCUCUCACCACCACUGCUACUGGCCUGUCAUCUGUUUCCUGGUCAGAACACACCAUCUCUGCCUUGUCAAUACAGAUGGCAUCAAGACAGCACUUGGCAUCCUUUCAGCUAUCUGCAAGCCUUGCAGGGUAAGGAAUACAAUACUAAAUACCUCAGAACUCUGUUGUGGCAUCCUGUAGGAGCAGCACCAGGCAUCAUCACAGUGAACGGUCACAGGAUAUCCAUCCCUCUACGCUCUGUUCUCUUUAGAGAUGGUAUUUACACUACAAACUGAAAUGCCACAACCAAAAAGGGUAGGGGCUAAGAAUGAGGUUGCUGGAUCAGUGUUACUUAGAGAUGACAUCCUAGAGAUGUUUUCAGGGUCAUCAAUCACACCGAAGACCUACCAUAUGCCAUGCACAUGUGUACCUCCUCUAAUGUCCACAAUGACUAGAAAGAAAUUUUAUCCCCUUUACAAAGAUGGAAGAGGAGGCCUAAGAGGGGUGAAGUUCCCCAAUUUUGGUUGUUUUCUUGUUUUGCUUCUUGAUCAAUUUCUCAUCCAUCUGAACUGCACUUGCUUGCUUCAUGUCACCAGAGAAUGAACUAGGACUGGAACCCAUCAGUGCCCAUGCCCUCCCCAACAUUCCAACUGCUUCCCUCCACAGGUUGCUCCCAAUCCAGAGGUGGCAGAAGAGGAAUUCCAGAGAGUUUUCCUCAGCUUUGGGUGGUGGCCGCUGCCGGGCAUCGGCUUCCAGUCCGCAGAGGGCGAGGCGGUGUGGACAGCGGCCCGGCACCCAGCGCCCCACCGCCCGCCUGUCCGCCGCGCCCCGAGCCCGCCGCUUCCUAUCUCAGCGCCCUGCCGCCUCCACCAUGGCCCAGCGAGCGGCCCUGAUGCAGGCCAUCAAGUGUGUGGUGGUGGGAGAUGGAGCUGUAGGUAAAAUUUGCCUACUGAUCAGUUACACAACCAAUGCAUUUCCUGGAGAAUAUAUUCCUACUGUCUUUGACAAUUAUUCUGCCAAUGUUAUGGUAGAUGGAAAACUGGUGAAUCUGGAAUUAUGGGAUACAGCUGGACAAGAUGAUGACAGAUUACGCCCCCUAUCCUAUCCGCAAACAGAUGUGUUCUUAAUUUGCUUUUCCCUUGUUGAGUCCUGCAUCAUUUGAAAAUGUCCGUGCAAAGUGGUAUCCUGAGGUGCGGCACCACUGUCCCAACACUCCCAUCAUCCUAGUGGGAACUAAACUUGAUCUUAGGAUGAUAAAGACACGAUUGAGAAACUGAAGAAGCAGCUGACUCCCAUCACCUAUCCAUGUCAGCAGGGUCUAGCCAUGGCUAAGGAGAUUGGUGCUGUAAAAUACCUGGAGUGCUCGGCGCUCACACAGCGAGGCCUCAAGACAGUGUUUGACGAAGUGAUCCGAGCAGUCCUCUGCCCACCUCCCGUGAAGAAGAGAAAGAGAAAAUGCCUGCUGUUGUAAAUGUCUGAGCCCCUCGUUCUUGGUCCUGUCCCUUGGAACCUUUGUACGCUUUGCUCA